rnacentral:lncRNA from 1 species
GCUAAAAUGGAACUCUGCACAAAGCUGAAAGAGGAGUUUGUAGUACAGAGUCUCCAUUUGCUCUAAGGAAUCUGGACAGUCUCUUAGAAGAGGUAGCAUUUAAGAGGCAGGAAGAUGCCUAAGAAUUUGCAAAUACAAGACCAGGGGAGAGGCAUUCUAGCAUAUAUAAAGGCAUGAAACAUGAAUGUGCUCAGCAUGUGUAGAAUGAUUGAGGCAUGAGCAACUCUACUGAAAGGAAACAAGGCCAACCCCUCAGGCCUACCGCCAGCAAGGACCUCACUUGCUCAAUGCUUCCCCACAAUUUGGACUGAGAGAGCCCUCCUGCAGAAAUUAUGAUGUUCUCGGGAGAGAAAUGAUUGGUUUUCAGUUACACACUGCUACAGGUGGAAGUCAUCAGAAAACUGUAAUGCCAGCAUAUGGAUAACCUGCAAGGCAGCAUAACGGUAUCUUUUCAAGGAGCCAGAUUUGAAAGCUAAUGAUCUCAGUCUCAUAACCAGCCUCCCCAUCAGUCUCCACUGGGACGUAUGGCAAAGCAAACAGACCGACAAACCAAAAUAAUGAAGCUGCAUCUGCCACAAGAGGAAGAACCCGGAAGAUCAGUGUUAGAGGUUACUGAGAUCCUCCUAAGUCAUCUCCCAGUUUCCAAAGCAGUUUGCACACAUGACUUUAUCCUGCGUCACAUCAAGCCUGUGAUACAGAUGGAGCAGGGUCACCACCCUCAUUCUUGAUCACCUGAUCACCUUUUGCUCAGAGAGGAUGCAAAAUCCCAGACCCAGUGCUCAAGGAACAGGAUGGAUCUGUACAAUGUUUCUGACCACAGCAUGCACGUGGGAAGGGCCACACCACACUCCACAUGGUGUGGUAGGUAGACAGAGCAGGAGCCCUUGGAACUGCUGGUCCAAUUACCAGCUCGGGAGGUAAGUAGAGCUGCUUCCAGAAAAGGAGAAAUCCUUUAAAUCCUGUUCUACUCUCAACUCAUUCUACAAAUGUUUCUUGCAGGCCUCGUUUGGUCCUACCCUUAAGGGAAGUGGAGACCCCAUCCUUCUCUAAACAUGUACCGCUUCCCUCUGCUUACAUGGAGGAAAAGUAAGAAGCACGAGUUCUUGUUGUGACUGCUUUUUGUAAUCAACAAACAUUUUUUUUUAAUUUCUUACUUUACAUCAUAAGCUUUUCUCAACAGCCUUGACAAGAAUUCUAAAUCCUGUGCUCUUGAGUUUCAGAAAGUUUCUCUAACUUUGACUUAACUGAUGUCUAAAGAAUAAGACAAAGAUGUCCAUGAUGUACUUGGUGGUUGAUAUUUCAGAUCCUGAAAUUUAUUAUGUGGAGAAAAUAGACAUUCUCCUUCCCUAUUAAAACCCUAAAUUCCAUGUUAUAAAAUAGAAAACAAGGGUUUU